GCGAAACCUUUACACUGCACGACAGUGCGAUAAGGCAACUCCAAGUGUGCAGGCAUAGUGCCUGCACUUUUCAGCACCGUAAGGAGGUGCUGGAAUAAGGACUGGGCAAGACCGGUGCCAGCCGCCGCGGUAAUACCGGCAGUCCAAGUGAUGGCCGAUCUUAUUGGGCCUAAAGCGUCCGUAGCCGGCCGUGCAAGUCCGUUGGGAAAUCCGCGCGCUCAACGCGCGGGCGACCAGCGGAAACUGCACGGCUUGGGACCGGAAGGCUCGAGGAGUACGUCCGGGGUAGGAGUGAAAUCCUGUAAUCCUGGACGGACUACCGAUGGCGAAAGCACCUCGAGAAGACGGAUCCGACGGUGAGGGACGAAAGCUAGGGUCUCGAACCGGAUUAGAUACCCGGGUAGUCCUAGCCGUAAACGAUGCCCGUUAGGUGUGGCACAGGCUACGAGCCUGUGCUGUGCCGUAG
rnacentral:rRNA from 1 species